rnacentral:lncRNA from 1 species
UACAAUCCCGAUUGCUGGGUCCUACCUCUAGAAUUUUUUAUUUCUUACAUUGGGUUGGGGCCUAAGAAUCUACAUUUCUAACAAGCUCCCAUGAUGGCACCGUACAUUGGGAACCAUUUCUCUAACUCGUAAACCACUAUCACUGAACGUGCUUGCCAGGUAUGAAUAUUUUGAAACUCUCUGUAGGUGAUUCUACUAUGUAGACAGUGUUGAGAUCCACUUGAAGUCAAUCUUCUCUGUUUUGUAUAGGUUAAGUGAAUUUCUUCAACCUCUCCUUUUUUUUACAUGACUCUAUUUUAAUAUCUAAUUUUAUAUCUUACAUUUUUUUACAAUUAUUUAAGGGCAUGUGUUUGUAGUCAUUAUUUGGAAUUAUCUUUUCUAGGUUACUUUUCAAACAUAUGUUUAUCUCCUGCCAUAUUCCAGCUUUAUAUACAAAUACUUAUUUAUUAAAGUAUAGCUCAUCUACAGUGGUAUAUUAAUUUCAGGUAUACAACAUAGUGAUUUGGCAAUUCUAUACAUUACCCUAUGCUUGCCAAAGUAAGUAUAGCUACCAUCUGUCACCAUACAACACGAUUACAGUAUUAUUAACUAUAUUCCCUCCCUAAGCUGUAUUUUUCACCCCUGUAACUUAUCUAUUUAUAACUGGAAGUUUAUACCUUCCCUUGGGUUAAUCCCCUUAGCCUCUUUCACCCAUUUCCCACCCACCUCACUUCUGGCAAACACUAGUUUGUUCUCUGUAUUUAUCGUUCUGUCUCUGUUUUUGUUUUUUUAGAUUUCACAUACAGGUGAAAUAAUUUGGUAUUUGUCUUUCUCUGUCUGACUUUCACUUAGCAUAAUACCCUCUAGGGCUAUCCAUGUUGUCACAAAUGAUAAGAUAUUACCUUUUUAUGAUUAAUAUUCCACUACACAUACACCCCCCCCAUCUUCUAUAUCCAUUCAUUUAUGACUGGAUGCUUAGUUAAUAGACCACUACUAGAUGAAAAUGGUGCCUGGGAAUACAGCCUCAUGAUCUUUAGAACUAUUCUUCUAAAGGUUUAACAAUGAAGGUAAAACUGAACCAUUUUUACUCAAUUUAUUAUCUUUCUAUAUAGAACUGUUGAAACUGUUGGAUACAACCAAUGGAAUUAAACAAAGGAUAAUAGAUUUACCCAUUGAAUUAUAGUCUAUUUGUUAAGGCCGUAGUAGAAUGUGUAUACUCAGAUUUUAAAAUGAAUAUAGGUCUACCUAACCGAAAAUGUAGAUGAGUCUGCCUUUUUCUUAAAUUUAGUAUCAUAGCUUCUUGCAGAGAAAGCUGGGGAUAUUUAAAUGAACUUUUGACUCCUUAAAUUGGGCUUCUCUGAGGUAGCAGUUGACAAUAUUUAAGGUGGCUUUAUUACACCAUAACUCUGAGUCCUUUCACUAAAGAAAGGAGUUACCUGCUAUUUUAAAUAAAUCCAAAACAACAGACCUGCAAAGCUGAAUAAAGUCUAUUUUCUCUUGUAUAAGGUAACAUAUUUCAAAAGAUGAUGAGAUAUGGAGUAAUCUCUAGAUAGCAUUUUGUUCUCUUCUCAUUGAUGUUCAACUGUUGUGAAUCACUACUUAAUAUAAUUCUCAUUUUCCUUCUAGGCUUUUCUUUUUUCUCACUAUAAAAUUUUUUGAAUGCAACUGUUCUGGAGUGCACAGAUAUAUAAAUGUCCUGGUAUGUUAAAACUUUAAGAUAUUUGCUGAAGAAAGAAUAAGAGAAAAGAACAAACAAAAAGAUCACAAAGGAUUCAAAUAAAUAUUCCUCAUUUAUUUAUUUUGCAAACAUCAAGUUGCCAUGCUCGUACUCCCAGUUGUCAUUGUGAAUGUACAAUUUGCCUCUUUUGCAGGUUACUUUGAUUUUGCUCUGAGUCAAAGACGGAAAAGGAACCUAUGUGUAUAUGAGCAUGUAUUUUUUUUCUCUUUCGAGUUACCAAAAUGAAUUCAUAGUAUACCCGUUAAAACCAUACUUAAAUCAGGAGCUAUUGAGGGAUGAACUUCUUCUUUGCUUAAAGUUGACAAUCUCAGGUUACGUGAUACAUUACCUUUUUUUUUUUUUUUUAGAGAUUUUAUUUAUUUAUUCGCGAGAGACACACAUGGAGAGAAGCAGAGACAUAGGCAGAAGGGGAAGCAGUCUCCCUGCAGGGAGCUCGGUGUGGGACUGGAUCCCAGGACCCUAGGAUCAUAGCCUGAGCUGAAGGCAGACACUCAACUGCUGAGCCGCCCAGAAGUUCCCCCCACCUUUUUUUUUUUUAAUUGGAAGAUCAUUUAACAAUAGGUAGCCAGUGACUUGGUAAAGAAACUACUUUGGAACUCAUUGUAGCCUGACAAAUGCAGGUCUUAGGCUUUAUCCCUAGGCCUGAAGAACAGUUAAUUUUUGUGAGGGAGACAUGAAAACCCAGCAGGAAUGCUGGAAGAGUGAAGGCUAGAACUCUAGCCUUGGUGUGAAGUGUUGAAGUUUUAGAGAAUACAGAAGAUUCUGAAUCUCAAAGUGGAUCAUGAUAGAAGCCCCUCAGGAUCAAGUUUCAGCAGAUUUAGAAACUUUCCAGAUUUAGAGCGUGAACUAAGAUAACUUGUGUUAAUUUUCCCUUGCUUUGUAACAAGUUGCCACAUAUUUUGCAGCUUAAAACAAUGCAUAUUUAUCAGCUCACAACCCAGCACUGCAUAGUUGAGUUCUCUGGUCAGUAUAACACAAAGCUGAAAGAGUGUGUGGGCUUCUCUGGAGGCUCUGGGGAAGAAGACACGUCCACACCAAUUCAGGAUGUCCACAGAAUCAUGUCCCUUUUGAUUAUGAGACAGAGUUCCCCAGUUCCUUGCUGCUGCUCAGUUUCUGGGGACUGCCUGUAUUCUGCGGCAUAUGUCUUCCCCCACCUUCAUCUCCUUCUUAUUGAAUUGCUCACUCUUCUAACCUCUUUGGCUUACUUGUCCCUGACCACUAGACUUGGACCUCCAGGGCUCAAGUGAUUAACUCAGCACUACACAGAUAAUCUCUUAAUCUUAAUGUCAACUAUUUGGGGCUUUAAUUACAUCUGUAAAAUACCUUCACAGCAACACCUAGAUUAGUGCUAACUGAAUAACUGAGAUUAGGGAUGUAUACACCGGGGUGAGGAAUUUGGGGGACAAUUUAGAAUUUUGACUACCCCUGAGCUAUAAAUUCAGAUUCAAGUGAUCUGUGAAGCUAACAGAUCACCAGGGUCAAAGAAGCAUCACUGCAGAGUAGACAUUUAUGGCCAGAUCAAAAAUCAUACCAUUUCAACAGUCACACAGUGUACCAGUUAGAAACAGAGUCAGAAAUUGCCAUCAGAAUUGUUUUUUUUUUUUUUUCCUCAGCUUUGUGUUUCUAUCAAGUCUGACCUCCUUUGCACAGAGUAUGCCUUUAUAUUUUGGGGGGAAUUAAAUUUAGUAAGGCCUCAAUAGGUGACAGCGGGCUUCCUAUCAAAAGGAUACAUAGAAAUUUGAAAAUGCCAUGACUAUUUGCAUUGCAAAUACAUACAGGAAGUCACAGCAUAUUUUUUAAAGAUUUAUUUAUUUAUUUUGAGGAGAGAGAGAGAGAGAGUGGGGAUAGUGGAAGAAAGAGAGGAGAGAGAGAAUCUCAAGCAGACUUCCCACUGAGCAGAGCCCAAUGUGGGGCUGAUCUCACAACCCUGAGAUCAUGACCUGAGCCGAAAUCAAGAAUCAGAUGCUUAACUGACUGAGCCACCCAGCUGCCCCAGGAAGUCCCAGAAUUUAAACAUUUUUCUAAUAAAUUUGUUAUAAGACCUUGCCCCAUGUCAACUCCUAAUAUUUGCUUUAUAGCAUAUGGGAAACAACUUAGUAUAAUGAUUAAGAAUAUAGUGGGAUUAAAAAUAUUCACUUUUUUCUCACUGUGUGAUUUGGGCAAAUUAAUCUUAAACCUUAGGUUUUUUUUUUUUUUUCUGUUAAUUGGAUAACAUAGUAGUAUCAACUAUAUAAAGUAGUUGUGGAUGGUAAAUGAAAUACAAUACAUAAAGGGCUUACAACAGACUUCAGUUAAGUUUUUAAUGAAUAUUCUCUAUGUUGAGUAUAAUUUGGUCACUAAGCCAUGUAGAUCUUUGGCCAUUUUUUUUUAAUUUUUAUUUAUUUAUGAUAGUCACACAGAGAGGGAGAGAGAGAGAGAGGCAGAGACACAGGCAGAGGGAGAAGCAGGCUCCAUGCACUGGGAGCCCGACGUGGGAUUCGAUCCCGGGUCUCCAGGAUCGCGCCCUGGGCCAAGGCAGGAGCCAAACUGCUGCGCCACCCAGGGAUCCCUCUUUGUCCGUUUCUGAACCACAUUUCCAUCAUAGAGAAUAGGAUUAGAGUUGAUUCAUUCAUUUACUGUCCAUUUGUUUAUUCAAUGUCCAACUCAUAUUUAUCAAGUUGCAAACUAAGCAAUGGAGAUAUCAAUUUAAAUAAGAAAUAACUCUCUAGUCCCUGAGACAUUUACAGAUUUAAAUUUAGAGAUUCUAAGGGGAGCCAUUUGUGUUCUCACCUGACUCCAUUUUCACUCAGAGUUAGAGAAAAACUUAGAACAUAAUGCAGCUUUAAAAUAGAGCAAUAAGGCAAUUUUCUCUCUUUUCCAAAACACUGUAAGCUCUAGGAGUUUAGGGACAUUAUAUUACACAUUUUUUAUUCCACCAUAAUUUGGCAUGGUGGGAAGCACAUAUUUAAUGAAUCAAUUUAAACUAAAAAUACUAGAAAUAGGUAUUGUCCUUAGGAAAAUAAGCAAUAGUAUAUGCCAGUACCAGUGUCUAAUGAUGAAAUAUCAUCUUAAAUAAGAAACAUUGAUUUAUUACAUCAAGAUAAUAGGUUAAAAUACAAGUCAGAAUGAAGCAACAUUGACUGCAAUCUAUGCUUUUAUGUAAUGCCUCUAAACAAGGUCCUGGGUAUUUUAGAAGCUGUGCUGUUUUAGCACAAAAUAAUACACUACUGACUUUCCCUCCAUUUCUUGUAAAAUAAUGUGGAUCUACUUUUGUCUCAUUUAUGGAACACACAAAAAAAUCUCUUCAUAUGGUGAGCCAGCAAAUAAAACUCAUUUUGAAGAGAAGGCUGAGAAUCUAUCCUAAAAAAUAAUUGGACAAGAUGGCAGAUAUUUAUAAGCAGAGAUGGUUAAACAUCAUUAGCACUUGCGGAAAAUUGUAACUUACCCAUAUGACUAGCAGAAGAGAAAUGGUUAAGUGUAAGUAUAGUGAUUAAGCAUAGGAUAAUCAUAAGAUGUCGGAUUAGGCAGCCUUUGCAAAUGUCUAUAAAGAAUUUUUAUUGGUGUGGCAAAAGACAGCAUAAUGUCAGAUCAAAAUAACACCAGGGAGCAAAAUAGAUGCAACACUUUCAGUUAUCAUAAUUCUAUUUUAAAACUUUUUCUCUAAGUAAAGAGCUUAUCAGUUAUUUUAUUUCAACCAGACAUUACUUCAGACAACUGGCACCAUGGCUGGUCACAUUGUGAUGGAAUUUGAUGGAUGUGGACAAGGUCUCCGUAAACAUCUGGCUAAAAGCAGAAACUGUACAGUUAGGGAUUUUUGUUGUAUAUUGUUAGUUGGUACUCAGAGAUCCAACUCUAUCUCUUUCUAUUGUGUUUUUCUAUUGUAUAGAUGUGGGGAAGCUAAAACUCACAUUUCAUUCUCCCUUGAAGCUAUGACUCUGGAUGUGAAUUCGAUUUUGCCUGUUAGAUAUACAUCUAUGCUAUUUGGAAGUAAGAGAGAGGUUAUUUCCCUGCUUCUUUUGGCUAUUUACAGAAACUAGAGAUGUAAAAUUUUAUAGUAGUACCUUACUAGUGAGCAUUCUCUAAAUCUUCUGGGUUUGAGGGCAGUGGCAGUUUCUUGAUCCAGGCUACCCAUAUAACCCUAAGUCCAGGUGGUGGCUUAUAGCAGAGAAAAUAUCCCCUUAGGUCAGUCAGUUCUAUGAAGUUCCAGAUCAUUACUAAAGGCCCAGCCUAUGUAAUGAUCCCCCUGUGCCCCAAAGAUGCUGCAAGUACCUGAUGCUCUUUAUUAACUCCCUUUCUGCUGAAAAUACCAGAAGUGGUUUCUGUUUUCUAUCAUAAGCCAAAUGAGGACAAAGAAGCCAAAUGAGGCACAGUGUGAAUUUUGCAAUUAAAGGAAUAUUUCACAAUUUUAAGUAACACCGUUGAUGAUAUUUUGGCAUGAACAUGUUUUCAGCUCUUUUUCCAUGAGAAGGUACUGGUAUUAAAUAUAUAUGCAUAUCUAUAUAAAUAUAUGGGUAUGGGGGAAUGGAUGGAGAAUAUACUUGAAGAUGAUUUAAUGCACCUACUAUAGACCUUAAAAAUAAUUUCAGUCUGGCAAACCAAUAUAUUGAAUAGUUGUCUUCUGGUGGCACAAUUUUCAAACAUAAAUUUACUAAAAGAGUUAUAAGAAUGCAUUCUGGAAUGUUGAUGCAUUAGCCAGAUACUCCUUCUCUUCUUCUAAUUUUGUCUAAUUAGACAGGAUAAUUAGUUUCUUACUCACUAGAUACCUUAGCCCAGAUGAGAAACAUGCCAAUAUCUCUGAGGCCCUACAGAUCUAAAUAGUUGGGAAUACCACUUUUCUUUUAACUCCGUAAGCAUUUAUGAAGUACCAACUGGGUAUCAAAUGACUACUGAAGACCUGAUGAUGAUUCAGAUAUGAUCCUAAGAAGGAAGAUAUAAAAGAGGCAGAGUCAUCAUACAGGCAGGCCAUGCUGGUCCAUUAUAGCUGCACCCUCAAUGCUGAUGUCGAUCCUUGUACUUGUCUUUGGUCAGCAGCCCCACCUUUGUGUGUGUGCAUGUCUGAUUCAAAUUUGAUUCUCUCUUCAGCAAACCCCAGGUUCAAUCCCAAACAAUUAAGAGAUUUUUAAAAAAUAUUUUAUUUAUUUAUUCAUGAGAUACAGAGACAGAGGCAGAGACACAGGCAGAGGGAGAAGCAGCCUCCAUCGGGCAGGGAGCCUGAUGUGGGACUCAAUCCUGGGUCUCCAGGAUCAUGCCCCAGGCUAAAGGCAGGCACCCAACUGCUGAGCCCCUGACGCUGACCCAAUUAAGAGAUUUUUUUACCCACCUAUCCAUACUGAGGAGGCUCAAAAUGCUCCCAACCUCUUCCUUAUUUAUCUGUGUUAACUUUAUGGAGUGAUGACCAAAGACGGGUUGUUAACUGGAACUUCACCAUAUUUAUAAAUUAGGAGGAGAAUUCAAAUCAGGCUGUCAUUAGGGAAACUGAUACUCGAGUCUUUAAACAUAUUUGCCUCAGUGAUGAUAGUAAUGUAGGCAGGCAGUGUUAAGAAACUUAGAAAUUUUAGGUUUUUAAAAUUAUUUAAGAUGUAUGUAGCAUAAAUGUAUACUAAUCUUUUAUAAUUGGACGGAUUUUCUUUUCAAAGAAUGCCAGCCCCUGCAAUUUUUGAAAAUUUGUUUUUAAUUUACUUUUAGGAAGUUGAAAUUAGAGAUGAAAGACUUGUGACUUCUUGUGCCAAAAAGGAGUGUAAGGAGCCCUGCCUCUGGGGUGCUUUCCAGAUUAUGACUUGAGGCUGCUGGGUCCUUACUUGUGUUCUAGACAUCUGCCCUUUCUUGUUUGCCUCUUGUUUUCCCUUUAGUUUAUGAAGGAAUAUAUGACAUUGGCAUGUGGGGAAACUGGUUGGACACCUAAAUUUAUUUGAGGGAAGCCAGCAUUUCUAUUCAGUUUUGGUGCCUAGGUAAUAGAAUGAAAGCAAGAAGAUAAAGAUUGAGCUUUUUAUUUGAAAAUGACUGAAUCUAGUCUUCAGUCUUAAUAAAGCUCUGCUUCCCAAUUGCAGGAUUUUAUGAGGAAUAUGGUUAUAGAGCUGCAGCCAUCAUGUUCAGAGUUCAGACAAACAAACCUUACCAAAAAGCUGUCAACAAAAGGAAGGAAAAUAGCCCCCCCAAAUCAACAAAAAAACAAAAACACACCAAAAAAUUUGGAUGCAUAUUCA